AAAUUGAAGAGUUUGAUCAUGGCUCAGAUUGAACGCUGGCGGCAGGCCUAACACAUGCAAGUCGAACGGUAACAGGAAGCGCUUGCUGCUUCGCUGACGAGUGGCGGACGGGUGAGUAAUGUCUGGGAAACUGCCUGAUGGAGGGGGAUAACUACUGGAAACGGUAGCUAAUACCGCAUAACGUCGCAAGACCAAAGAGGGGGACCUUCGGGCCUCUUGCCAUCGGAUGUGCCCAGAUGGGAUUAGCUUGUUGGUGGGGUAACGGCUCACCAAGGCGACGAUCCCUAGCUGGUCUGAGAGGAUGACCAGCCACACUGGAACUGAGACACGGUCCA
rnacentral:rRNA from 1 species